AUUGAACGCUGGCGGAAUGCUUUACACAUGCAAGUCGAACGGCAGCACAGACUUCGGUCUGGUGGCGAGUGGCGAACGGGUGAGUAAUGUAUCGGAACGUGCCCAGUCGUGGGGGAUAACGUAGUGAAAAUUACGCUAAUACCGCAUACGAUCUAUGGAUGAAAGCGGGGGAUCGCAAGACCUCGCGCGAUUGGAGCGGCCGAUAUCAGAUUAGGUAGUUGGUGGGGUAAAGGCCCACCAAGCCAACGAUCUGUAGCUGGUCUGAGAGGACGACCAGCCACACUGGAACUGAGACACAGUCCAGACUCCGACGGGAGGCAGCAGUGGGGAAUUUUGGACAAUGGGCGAAAGCCUGAUCCAGCCAUUCCGCGUGCAGGAUGAAGGCCCUCGGGUUGUAAACUGCUUUUGUACAGAACGAAAAGGUUUCUACUAAUACUAGGAGCUCAUGACGGUACUGUAAGAAUAAGCACCGGCUAACUACGUGCCAGCAGCCGCCGUAA
rnacentral:rRNA from 1 species